AUCUCAAGCAGAACUUCUCAACAUCUCUGUUUAUAAGGCCCUACAUUUGGACUGAGAAGACACCUGAACUUUCUGAAUACUUUUUGAGGAAGGCAGAGGUCAUCUUCUCUCUGCUGACUUUGUGAGACCACCAGAGCACCACCAUUGUCCAGGUCAUCAUGGGAGUCAUGACUGUGUCUGUUCUUUUCUGUGUCCUCCUCACCAUCCUGGGGACCGAGAUGACUGGGAGGUCUCCACCAGGGUAUCUGGGAUUAGCUGCACCAGUGGAGAGAUUUGCCAGAAGGCCCCCACCAUGGCCCAAUCAGAACCCAUGUCCUCCAGGGUUUUCUCGACCCAACCGUUACUGGUGAACUUGCUACCUUUUCGACAACAGUUAUUCCUUAUUCCUGGAGUACUCUAAUUUAAUAUUUAUUUUUAUUAGUCAAGGACCUUAUGUAACAGUAUAACUUUAGACCGUCCCCUCGCCCAUACCCGGGCGCGAACCAGGGACCCUCUGCACACAUCAACAACAGUCACCUACGAAGCAUCGUUACCCAUCGCUCCACAAAAGCCGCGGCCCUUGCAGAGCAAGGGGAACUACUACUUCAAGGUCUCAGAGCAAGUGACGUCACCGAUUGAAACGCUAUUUAGCGACCACCAAGUAGAUGCUGACAUUGACUUUUCCCUUUUCUCCCUGACAGUCUGGAUUUCCCCAGAAGAACUGGAUGAGAGGUUCUCAGCGUAACAUGAAUGGAGAGAGUGAGGACUGAUUGGCACUGCUGAAAAUCAAUAGUCAGUAACACAAACUCACAACCGUCUGGACAAAUAUACUGUACAACCUUUCUGGAACCCCAAGUAUCAGGAUCUGUGUGGUCUGUAGAUGUUGGGUGAGCAGGAGUACAAUUGAAUGUUAAUACACUCCAUCGUGGGGUUUAUAGAUGUGGAGGAGCUCUGGUUAAAUACAGAAAUAGAUAAUUCUGUCAUUUUCAUUGGCCGCUUUCAGUGAAGGGUAAACAGAUGUACCUUUGUUCUGUCUUGCCCUUCAACUCACAAGGACAUUCUCCUCUACAGGUGAAGCAGGCUUUGAUGACAUAAGCUGUUCCAGUAUCGUCACCUCUGCCAAAACUCUCUGCAAGAUUCAUACUUCAAUGGACUGACUUUUCCUAGGAGUCCAAACAGAGAGUGCAAAAGGGAUUUUGCCAAUACUCUCUGAUUUUCUUUUUCUAGUAUUGUACAAAAUUGUUCUGAGUUUGAUUUAAGUUGAGUACAUAUAAUGAAAGGUGACGCAAUGGCUACAGAUACAUACAUAAUGAUACAUUGAUUCAAUUGUAUUUUUGAAAGCAGAGUAAAUACUUGAUUAAACAAGGGAUACAACGAAUAUUUGAAAGCAUGUGCUUCCACACAGGUGUGGUUCCUGAGUUAAUUAAGCAAUUAACAUCCCAUCAUGGUUAGGGUCAUGUAUAAAAUGCUGGGCAGGCCAUUAUUUUGGCUACCAUGGUUAUGCCCCCAUAGAAUCCACAGGGCACGAAUGGUCACUGAAUGGUUUGAUGAACAUGAAAACGAUAUAAACCAUAUGUCAUGGCCGUCUCAGUCAACAGAUCUCAACGCAACUGAACACUUAUUGGAGAUUUGGGAGCGGUGCCUGAGACAGCUUUUUCCACUACCAUCAACAAAACACAAACUGAUGUAAAUUCUCGUGAAAAAAUGAUGUCGCAUCCCUCCAAUAGAGUUACAGACACUUGUAGAAUCUAUGCCAAGGUGCAUUGAAGCUCAUGGUGGCUCGUGGUGGUCCAACGCCCUGUUAAGAUACUUUAUGUAGGUAAU